GGAGGAUAGAGAGAUGGACCAACUGGAGCCCACGCAGAAGAGAGAAACCCACAUGGGUGCCUCCUGGUCGUUGGCACAGAGGGGCCACUUUCUUUCCUGAGUCGCUGGAAUUCUCCUUCCCUUCCUAAAUGCCCCCCUCCUGCUACCCUGUGGAGCCUGUGCAGGGAGCACCCACACUCCCUCCAUGCUGGACAUGGGGGACUCUGCCUGGUCUGGAUGUUCAGGCCAGGAAUUAAAGCCGAGAGUCUCAAGAAUACCCUACCCCAGCACCGAAGGAGCGAUGAAGGCUGCCAUUUUUGGGAUGCAUUCUGACGCUGACUCAUAUUAUGUGGAACCGUCCUGGGGCAUCCAGGACAUUUGGACUGUGUACAUGUAUCGUAGAGGACUCUGCUUUCUGACAUUUUUUUCCAUUUAAAAAAAGGACU